rnacentral:rRNA from 1 species
UACGAAGGGUGCAAGCGUUACUCGGAAUUACUGGGCGUAAAGGGUGCGCAGGUGGUUCUUUAAGUCUGCUGUGAAAGCCCCGGGCUCAACCUGGGAAUGGCAGUGGAUACUGGAGAGCUAGAGUGCGGUAGAGGGUAGUGGAAUUCCACGUGUAGCAGUGAAAUGCGUAGAUAUGUGGAGGAAUACCGAUGGCGAAGGCAGCCCCCUGGGAUAACACUGACGCUCAUGCACGAAAGCGUGGGGAGCAAACAGG